rnacentral:rRNA from 1 species
UCCUACGGGGCGCAGCAGUGGGGAAUUUUGCGCAAUGGGGGGAACCCUGACGCAGCAACGCCGCGUGCGGGACGAAGGCCCUCGGGUCGUAAACCGCUUUCAGCAGGGAAGACCUUACGACGGUACCUGCAGAAGAAGCUCCGGCUAACUACGUGCCAGCAGCCGCGGCAAUACGUAGGGGGCGAGCGUUAUCCGGAUUCAUUGGGCGUAAAGCGCGCGUAGGCGGCCGCCUAAGCGGAACCUCUAACCCCGCGGCUCAACCUCGGCCCGGGUUCCGGACUGGGCGGCUCGACUGCGGCAGAGGG